rnacentral:rRNA from 1 species
GGUAAUUUAGUCUUAUAAUCAACAAGAAUGGAUCAAAUUAUUAUAAAUAAAUAUAUAGAUAAAGAAAAGAGUUUAUUAAUUCAUUUUCAUCACCCCAACAAAAUAAAUUCUAUAAUAAAUACCUUUAACAAACAAAAUAAUUAUAAAAUAUAUUAAACUCUAUAGGGUCUUCUCGUCCCAUAAAGAAAUUUAAGCAUUUUAACUUAAAAUUUAAAUUCAAAAUAUAUUAUUAAGAAACAGUGUAUUCCUCGUCCAACCAUUCAUUCUAGUCUUCAAUUAAAAGACUAAUGAUUAUGCUACCUUUGCACGGUCAAAAUACCGCGGCCCUUCAAAAUUAAUCAGUGGGCAGGUUAUACUUCAAAAUAAAAACAAGAAGAGAUGUUUUUGAUAAACAGG